GCCGUUGUAGCUAAGUGGUUAGAGUGUCGGUCCUUGUACCAAAAGGUUAUGGGUUCGAUUCCUGGUCAAGGGCA
rnacentral:tRNA from 1 species